GUCCUAACCCUUUCCUUUGGUCCUAGCUGUCUCCCCCCUCUAUUUGCUGCGAUUGGCUCCCUCCCUCACCAGGAGGUACCCUCUUUGCAUCAUGCGGCUGGCUACUGGCUGGCGCUGUCGCGCCAUUGGAAGGUACUUAUCAGCUGACUUCCCCCUGCCGCUGAGAAUUCUGGGGGUUGUAGACGUCCGGGACAGGAUAUUAAUGGCGCAUGCGCACGGAUGCUGUGUGUCCGCACACGCCCGAUGACGUCAGACACUCGGGCGUGUGGGAGGGGGGUUAUAAGGAGACAGUGCUAUCCAUCCUCUGUGCUGCACUGAUACAUGGGGACAGCCUCUCCUGGGACACUCUGCAUUUGGGUAAUGAUCUUUAUCCUUUUCUCCUAGCUAUUUCAUUUGAUUUUCUUUGCUUUGGACUGAGGUGAUUUGUUUGUUCUGUGCCUGGCUCUGGUCGUCUUAAACCUUUUUUAUUGAUAACUCAGUGUUACUAACUAGGCAUGAUUUGUCUUCAUGCCUAUAAAUACAUAUAUAUUGAUAUUUUAUUUUUUCUAUUCUCUUUAUACAUUUACCUAGUGACUGAUCAGGCCUGGCCCAAGAUCUGUGCUGAGCCAACUGUGUUGGUCCCUUUGACUGCCCCCAUAGGUGUUUUCAUAUAUUGAACUCACUGGGUCUCCUUCUCCCCUCCUGUGGAUGAACUGAUUGCCUCUACACGCAGCAUUGACUGUGGUUUAAGUCCCCACGCCUCUUUUCUUUUGGCUGUGGAAAAUACUGGUUCCCCAUUUAUUGGCAGGAUCAAGGAGAAUCUCUCUUUUUCUCUCCCCCCCUACUCGGGAUUGCAGGUCAGCAUGUGCUUCUUUGUAUGAAAGCAAACUAAACUGUUUUGAUUUGGUAUUUUUGUGACUUUUAUCAUUAUGUAACAUGUAUUUUUCUAUUAUUAAUAGAGCUGGCCCUGUUUGAUCCCAACCCUACCCCUGAGGAAGCCUUAUAAGAGGCGAAAUAUAUUGGGCAAUACCACCUUGGUUGUGAUGACAUUCUAUAACCAGCUAUCUGUAUCUAUCCGGGAUCUCCAGCGACCCGGAAAACGCAUGUUCAAUCUAAUGUGUUUUUAAUCAAUUUCUUUAUUUUUGUUAUGUAUCAUCUGUCUAUGAUAUAUUUUUAAUAAAUUAUUAAAAAUUAUUUGUUA